AGGGCCCGGCUGGUGAGAGGGGCAUGGACGGACUCCCUGGGUUUAAGGGAGACAAAGGAGAUAUCGGAGAGCAAGGAGCCCAGGGAGACAUGGGUUACCCUGGUGAGAAAGGGGUUCCAGGCUCUACUGAGGUCAUUGACUUCAGUGGGAAGCUGCUAGAAGCCUUCCAGGCCAUCCAGACCAUCAGUGUCAGGG